rnacentral:lncRNA from 1 species
CCCUUAAAAGAAUUUUCUAGCUUCGCUCUUGGUCACUAGCUAGCUAACGAAAAAUGAAAACACACUCAAAAAUCUAAAAUAGUUGAGUGUCGAAAAAAAUAAUUAAAUAAUUAAGCGAUAUUUUAUAAAUUUUUAUAGGUGGGUGGUAAAAAAUAAAAUUAUUACAAAAUAAUAAUAAUAAUAAUAAGUUAACAAUAUCAAAUUUUAAUUUCAUUAUUUAUCAAAAGCAUGGAUUUAAUACACUUAUCUUAAACUACAAUAUUUUCCUAGUUCACAGAUAGUAACAAAGCUAAGUUAAAAAUAGGUGGUUGCAGCGGCGGUGAUGGCGCAAAUAGUGUCUCAGCUUGACUGUGCUUGUGGCUGAGGAGCUGGCGUAGGCACCACCGUUGGAGGCGGUGGAGCCUUAUAAUUAGGCGGCGCUCUGAAUCUGUAGUGACGAGGAACGUUGAACCUUGGAGCUGGGGGCCUUGAAUUGAUUUCUUUUAGCCUUCUCGAAACAUUGUUCAAAAAUCUCGAAAGAACCGCUUCGGAUGAAGAACUCGAAACUGCCACUUCGACGGCGGCGUGGAUUAGCCGGCAGUUACUUGAAAGCAAGAUGAAACUGACGAUGAUUGGUGGCAACAAUGUCGCCACAAAAGACUUGGCAUGAUCCCUUUGCCUGGUUUUAUAUUUA